GACAUGUGUUGAAGCGUUUGGAUAAGGCUGAGCCGCUUCCAGUUCGAACCGAAAAACAGAAAUGAACCAAGCCAAUUUGGUUUAGUUGGUUCUUUUUUUGUUCAAUCAGUUUGGUUUGAUUUUAUUUUUCUAAUAUUUUCGGUUUUCGGUUCAGUUUGGUUAAUUAACCGAAAUUAAUGAAAUAAACAGAACCUACCAAUUAUUGUCCAUAAGUCCCAUAAGUCCCAUACAGUUCUUGUAAAUAAGGAAGCUUCUUCCAAAAUUCCCCAUUUAGCAUGACAGUGCCCAUAACUCCGUUCCCUUUUCACCCAUAUCGAGAGCCUUUUGGCUUCUUCCAUCCAUCUUUUUCAUCUAUCUUGCACAG
rnacentral:misc_RNA from 1 species